CGGACAGGGCCGCGCAAGUCACUUAAUG
rnacentral:sRNA from 1 species